rnacentral:rRNA from 1 species
GAUGAACGCUGGCGGCGUGCCUAAUACAUGCAAGUCGAGCGAACAGACGAGGAGCUUGCUCCUCUGACGUUAGCGGCGGACGGGUGAGUAACACGUGGAUAACCUACCUAUAAGACUGGGAUAACUUCGGGAAACCGGAGCUAAUACCGGAUAACAUGUUGAACCGCAUGGUUCAACAGUGAAAGACGGUCUUGCUGUCACUUAUAGAUGGAUCCGCGCCGCAUUAGCUAGUUGGUAAGGUAACGGCUUACCAAGGCAACGAUGCGUAGCCGACCUGAGAGGGUGAUCGGCCACACUGGAACUGAGACACGGUCCAGACUCCUACGGGAGGCAGCAGUAGGGAAUCUUCCGCAAUGGGCGAAAGCCUGACGGAGCAACGCCGCGUGAGUGAAGAAGGUCUUCGGAUCGUGAAACUCUGUUAUUAGGGAAGAACAAAUGUGUAAGUAACUAUGCACGUCUUGACGGUACCUAAUCAGAAAGCCACGGCUAACUACGUG